ensembl:lncRNA
GGAGGCUAUAAGGAUGUCUGCAUGUCUUGAGGAGCUGUAGGUGGAGGCUAUAAGGAUGUCUGCAAGUCUUGAGGAGAUGUAGGUGGAGGCUAUAAGGAUGUCUGCAAGUCUUGUUCUGGGUGGGUUUGUUCUGGGUUGGGUUUGUUCUGAGUUGGGGUUGGGGUUGUCCUGGGUUGGGGUUGUUCUGGGUUUGUUCUGAGUUGGGGUUGUUCUGGUUGGGGGUUGUUCUGGUUUGGGUUUGUUCUGGGUUGGGUUUGUUGUAGGUUAGGUUGGUUUGGGUUGGUUUGUUCUGGGUUGGUUAUAUGGUGAUAUCAAUGGUUAUUUUAUUGUGUGUUACUUUAGAU